rnacentral:rRNA from 1 species
UACCUGCAGUCGAGCGGAACGAUGAUAGCUUGCUAUCAGGCGUCGAGCGGCGGACGGGUGAGUAAUACUUAGGAAUCUACCUAGUAGUGGGGGAUAGCACGGGGAAACUCGUAUUAAUACCGCAUACGACCUACGGGAGAAAGGGGGCAGUUUACUGCUCUCGCUAUUAGAUGAGCCUAAGUCGGAUUAGCUAGAUGGUGGGGUAAAGGCCUACCAUGGCGACGAUCUGUAGCUGGUCUGAGAGGAUGAUCAGCCACACCGGGACUGAGACACGGCCCGGACUCCUACGGGAGGCAGCAGUGGGGAAUAUUGGACAAUGGGGGAAACCCUGAUCCAGCCAUGCCGCGUGUGUGAAGAAGGCCUUUUGGUUGUAAAGCACUUUAAGCAGUGAAGAAGACUCUUCGGUUAAUACCCGGAGACGAUGACAUUAGCUGCAGAAUAAGCACCGGCUAACUCUGUGCCAGCAGCCGCGGUAAUACAGAGGGUGCAAGCGUUAAUCGGAAUUACUGGGCGUAAAGGGAGCGUAGGUGGCUCGAUAAGUCAGAUGUGAAAUCCCCGGGCUCAACCUGGGAACUGCAUCUGAUACUGUUGAGCUAGAGUAUGUGAGAGGAAGGUAGAAUUCCAGGUGUAGCGGUGAAAUGCGUAGAGAUCUGGAGGAAUACCGAUGGCGAAGGCAGCCUUCUGGCAUAAUACUGACACUGAGGCUCGAAAGCGUGGGUAGCAAACAGGAUUAGAUACCCUGGUAGUCCACGCCGUAAACGAUGUCUACUAGUCGUUGGGUCCCUUGAGGACUUAGUGACGCAGCUAACGCAAUAAGUAGACCGCCUGGGGAGUACGGCCGCAAGGUUAAAACUCAAAUGAAUUGACGGGGGCCCGCACAAGCGGUGGAGCAUGUGGUUUAAUUCGAUGCAACGCGAAGAACCUUACCUGGUCUUGACAUAUCUAGAAUCCUGCAGAGAUGCG